UGGAAACGGGCAUAAAGACACCUCGUUGGUGGUAUUAUCCUUAUAUCAGGCAGGAGCAAAGCAGAUGACAGUCCUUUGUUCUUCCUAGCUUGAUGCCUGGCUUAUUGGCCAAAGCUACUUUAUGCCUAGGACACAUAA